rnacentral:rRNA from 1 species
CCUACGUGAGGCAGCAGUGGGGAAUAUUGGGCAAUGGGCGCAAGCCUGACCCAGAAACGCCGCGUGAAGGAAGAAGGCUUUCGGGUUGUAAACUUCUUUUCUCAGGGACGAAGCAAGUGACGGUACCUGAGGAAUAAGCCACGGCUAACUACGUGCCAGCAGCCGCGGUAAUACGUAGGUGGCAAGCGUUAUCCGGAUUUACUGGGUGUAAAGGGCGUGUAGGCGGGACUGCAAGUCAGAUGUGAAAACCAUGGGCUCAACCUAUGGCCUGCAUUUGAAACUGGCGUUCUUGAGUACUGGAGAGGCAGACGGAAUUCCUGGUGUAGCGGUGAAAUGCGUAGAUAUUAGGAGGAACACCAGUGGCGAAGGCGGUCUGCUGGACAGCAACUGACGCUGAGGCGCGAAAGCGUGGGGAGCAAACAGGAUUAGAUACCCUUGUAGUC